GAUCCUGGCUCAGAUUGAACGCUGGCGGCAGGCUUAACACAUGCAAGUCGAACGGUAACAGAAGAAAGCUUGCUUUCUUGCUGACGAGUGGCGGACGGGUGAGUAAUGCUUGGGAAUCUGGCUUAUGGAGGGGGAUAACGACGGGAAACUGUCGCUAAUACCGCGUAGAGUCGAGAGACGAAAGUGCGGGACCGCAAGGCCGCAUGCCAUGAGAUGAGCCCAAGUGGGAUUAGGUAG
rnacentral:rRNA from 1 species